rnacentral:rRNA from 1 species
GUUUGAGGUUCUAACCUUGGUCCGUAAUCCGGAUCGGGGACAGUGCAUGGUAGGCAGUUUGACUGGGGCGGUCUCCUCCCAAAGUGUAACGGAGGAGUACGAAGGUACGCUAGGUACGGUCGGAAAUCGUGCUGAUAGUGCAAUGGCAUAAGCGUGCUUAACUGCGAGACCGACAAGUCGAGCAGGUGCGAAAGCAGGUCAUAGUGAUCCGGUGGUUCUGUAUGGAAGGGCCAUCGCUCAACGGAUAAAAGGUACUCUGGGGAUAACAGGCUGAUACCGCCCAAGAGUUCAUAUCGACGGCGGUGUUUGGCACCUCGAUGUCGGCUCAUCUCAUCCUGGGGCUGUAGCCGGUCCCAAGGGUAUGGCUGUUCGCCAUUUAAAGAGGUACGUGAGCUGGGUUUAAAACGUCGUGAGACAGUUUGGUCCCUAUCUGCCGUGGGCGCUGGAUAUUUGAAGGGGGCUGCUCCUAGUACGAGAGGACCGGAGUGGACGAACCUCUGGUGUACCGGUUGUCACGCCAGUGGCAUCGCCGGGUAGCUAUGUUCGGAAGGGAUAACCGCUGAAAGCAUCUAAGCGGGAAGCCUACCUCAAGAUAAGAUUUCCCUAGGACUUUAUGUCCUCUAAAGAGCCGUUCGAGACUAGGACGUUGAUAGGUUGGAUGUGGAAGCAUAGUGAUAUGUGAAGCUGACCAAUACUAAUUGCUCGUGAGGCUUGACUAUACAACACCCAAGCAGUUG